rnacentral:lncRNA from 1 species
GCCCCGAGUUGAGCACUCUGCCAGGCCCACACGGGGGUGGGAUCGACACGUCGCUGGAGUCCAGAGUCCCGGGGCGGCGCCGCAUGGGGCGGGGACGCGGGCUCAGACCAAGCGGGAAUCCGGGCAGAGGGACUGGUGCUGGUCCCCGCGCCGCCCUUGACUCGCCUGGUCUGGGCCGGGACUCGGGCUGACCCGCCCCGUGUCCCAUCGGUUACCGGCGACUCCGCCCCGGGUCCUCCCGCGCAUUCCGGUCGUGCCUUAGCUUGACGGAGGCCCGGGACGAGGCGGGACAGACAGACCAGAAGGAGUUGCUUCAAGAGAUCUGGAAGUAAAACGAGAUGGCAGAGUAAAAGCAGUCACUGUUGGGAAGUCACUGGGUGAAGAGAAAGAAAAUACAAAGAUUGAGAGCUUUUUCCCCAGAUAACUCUGAGUGGCCCAUAUAUUUGGCAAUAGACUGUAUAAAAAGCAGGGACCUCAGAGUUGUGAAGCGGUUUCAGGGAUCGACAGGAGCUCACGAGUGUUAUCUUUGAGUUUCAUGUUUCUUACUGGUGGAAGCGACUACUUGACCCACUUUCCAUGGGCUGCCAAAGAUCAUCUUGAGCAGGAGCAGAUAACCAGCAGGAGUUUCUAGAGGCAUUCAACCAAGGAUGGUCUAACAAAAGUGGGGGACUGUUCAUACAUAACAAGGUGUCAAGUCUGCCUGGCAGAAAACAUUUGGUGACAGGGCCUGGCACACGUGCCAGAGAACACAUUGCUAUAGAACAUCAGCUUUUUAUUAAAUCAAUCAGAAGGUGAUGGAGAAGAAAAUGACAAAACACUAUGACAGGGAAACAGGUUCUAACACGUAGUCAGGAUUUUCCAAUCAAGAGAAAAUGGAAUUGAGGAGAGUAUUUUCAGAAGAUUGGGAAUCCCACAUUCAAAGAAAUGUAAUUCUUCUAAGACUAUAACUGCACAGAAUGCCACAGUGACCCUGAUGCCUGCAGGGAACUGAAUCCAAGAUGCCUCAAAGAGACCAACGUUCUGUGAGAUGGUAGUUCUUCCAAACAGCCUGUGCACAGACACCAUAUACUUUAUUUUAUUCCUCUUAUUUUAUUUUACAAGAAUGAAACCCAGAGCCUUGUGCAUGCUACACAAAUACUCUGACACUGAGGUACAUCUCCAGUUCUUUUCUGUUUAUUUUUGGACAGAGUCCUUGCUAUGUUGCCCAGGCUGGCUUUAGGCUUGCCUCUUGUAACGUGGUCCACCACCAUGCCUGUAAUGUAAAUGUGUAAUGUCAAUCAUCUCUAAAGGACUUGUAAUACCAUAUAUAUAUAUAUAUAUAUAUAUAUGUAUAUAUCAUGCUGUAUUGUUUAGGGGAUAAAUACAAGAAGAUGGCUUUUGUUUGUAACAGAGCAUCACAGAAGGAAAC